GGCGCUGAUAGUGUAGGGGUUAAGCGUGCGACCAUGUGCAGAGGCUACAGUCCUCGAGGCGGCUGUCCCGGGUUCGAGUCCCGGACCCAGCGGCA